GAUGAAGAACGUAGCGAAAUGCGAUAAGUAAUGUGAAUUGCAGAAUUCAGUGAAUCAUCGAAUCUUUGAACGCACAUUGCGCCCCUUGGUAUUCCGAAGGGCAUGCCUGUUCGAGCGUCAUUAUCACCCCUCAAGCCCCGGCUUGGUGUUGGGCUCUCGGUGGUCGUCUCCGACCACCCGUCUCAAAGAUAGUGACGGCGUCCCAGAGGGAAUCGGUACGAGGAGCUUUCACGAGCAUGUACGCGGGACGACUCUGCGGGCGACGGUCUUAUUUACUUUAUAUACAAGUGUUGACCUCGGAUCAGGUAGGAAUACCCGCUGAACUUAAGCAUAUCAAUAAGCGGAGGA
rnacentral:misc_RNA from 1 species